UACGUAGGGAGCGAGCGUUGUCCGGAUUUACUGGGUGUAAAGGGUGCGUAGGCGGGCUGGCAAGUCAGAAGUGAAAUGCAGGGGCUCAACCCCUGAACUGCUUUUGAAACUGUUGGUCUUGAGUGAAGUAGAGGUAGGCGGAAUUCCCGGUGUAGCGGUGAAAUGCGUAGAGAUCGGGAGGAACACCAGUGGCGAAGGCGGCCUACUGGGCUUUAACUGACGCUGAGGCACGAAAGCGUGGGUAGCAAAC
rnacentral:rRNA from 1 species